UGAAUACGAGACGCUAAGGCGUCGAAGUAGUGUAUGUCAUACUUCCAAGAAAAGCUUGCACUGUCAUAGAUAAAAAACGCCUGUACCAUAACCGACGCAGGUGGGUAGGUAGAGUAUACUAAGGGGCGCGAGAUAACUCUCUCUAAGGAACUCGGCAAAAUAACUCCGUAACUUCGGGAGAAGGAGUGCCUUAUUCGUAAGGUUGCAAUAACAAGAUCCAAGCAACUGUUUAUCAAAAACACAGGUCUCCGCUAAGUCGUAAGACGAUGUAUGGGGGCUGACGCCUGCCCAGUGCCAGAAGGUUAAAGAAGUUGGUUAGCAAUUGCGAAGCUGAUAACUGAAGCCCUGGUGAACGGCGGCCGUAACUAUAACGGUCCUAAGGUAGCGAAAUUCCUUGUCGGGUAAGUUCCGACCCGCACGAAAGGCGUAAUGAUUUGGAUACUGUCUCGGAGAGGGGCUCGGUGAAAUAGACUUGUCUGUGAAGAUGCGGACUACCUGCACCAGGACAGAAAGACCCUAUGAAGCUUUACUGUAACUUGAAAUUGAAAUUGGACUUUAUUCGCGCAGUAUAGGUGGGAGGCGUUGAUUAUAAUCUUGUGGGAUUAUUGGAGCCAUCAGUGAGAUACCACUCUUGUAAUGUUGGAUUUCUAACUUUGAAUCAUUAUCUGGUCAAAGAACAGUUUCAGGCGGGCAGUUUGACUGGGGCGGUCGCCUCCUAAACGGUAACGGAGGCGUACAAAGGUUUCCUCUGAACGGUUAGAAAUCGUAUCUAGAGUGUAAAGGCAUAAGGAAGCUUGACUGUGAGACCUACAAGUCGAGCAGGGACGAAAGUCGGUCUUAGUGAUCUGACGGUACUGAGUGGAAAGGCCGUCACUCAACGGAUAAAAGUUACUUUAAGGAUAACAGGCUGAUCUCCCCCAAGAGUUCACAUCGACGGGGAGGUUUGGCACCUCGAUGUCGGCUCAUCGCAUCCUGGGGCGGUAGUACGUCCCAAGGGUUGGGCUGUUCGCCCAUGAAAGCGGUACGCGAGCUGGGUUCAGAACGUCGUGAGACAGUUCGGUCCAUAUCCGGUGUAGGCGUUAGAAUAUUGAGAGGAGCCUUCUUUAGUACGAGGGGACCGAGAAGGACAUACCUCUGGUGUACCAGUUAUCGUGCCAACGGUAAACGCUGGGUAGCUAUGUAUGGAGUGGAUAACCGCUGAAAGCAUCUAAGUGGGAAGCCCACCUCAAGAUAAGUAUUCUCAC
rnacentral:rRNA from 1 species